rnacentral:rRNA from 1 species
UUAAACCUACGGGAGGCAGCAGUAGGGAAUCUUCCACAAUGGGCGAAAGCCUGAUGGAGCAACGCCGCGUGGGUGAAGAAGGUCUUCGGAUCGUAAAACCCUGUUGUUAGAGAAGAAAGUGCGUGAGAGUAACUGUUCACGUUUCGACGGUAUCUAACCAGAAAGCCACGGCUAACUACGUGUCAGCAGCCGCGGUAAUACGUAGGUGGCAAGCGUUAUCCGGAUUUAUUGGGCGUAAAGAGAACGCAGGCGGUUUUUUAAGUCUGAUGUGAA